CCUACGGGAGGCAGUAGUGGGGAAUUUUGGACAAUGGGCGAAAGCCUGAUCCAGCAAUGCCGCGUGAGUGAAGAAGGCCUUCGGGUUGUAAAGCUCUUUUGUCAGGGAAGAAACGGUGAAAGCUAAUAUCUUUUGCUAAUGACGGUACCUGAAGAAUAAGCACCGGCUAACUACGUGCCAGCAGCCGCGGUAAUACGUAGGGUGCAAGCGUUAAUCGGAAUUACUGGGCGUAAAGCGUGCGCAGGCGGUUUUGUAAGUCUGAUGUGAAAUCCCCGGGCUCAACCUGGGAAUUGCAUUGGAGACUGCAAGGCUAGAAUCUGGCAGAGGGGGGUAGAAUUCCACGUGUAGCAGUGAAAUGCGUAGAUAUGUGGAGGAACACCGAUGGCGAAGGCAGCCCCCUGGGUCAAGAUUGACGCUCAUGCACGAAAGCGUGGGGAGCAAACAGGAUUAGAUACCCUGGUAGUCCACGCCCUAAACGAUGUCUACUAGUUGUCGGGUCUUAAUUGACUUGGUAACGCAGCUAACGCGUGAAGUAGACCGCCUGGGGAUACGGUCGCAAGAUUAAAACCGUCAAAGUGAAAUUGACGG
rnacentral:rRNA from 1 species